rnacentral:lncRNA from 1 species
AGUCCACAUUUGAAAGUCUUUAUUUAGCUGGAGAGAAACAGUUCUCAUUGAGCAGCCUUGAAUAUAUUGCAGGGAGCUUUAAAAGGAAAAACAAAAAUCAGAGAAAAACUAUAUCCUGGUUGGCAGUUGCAAGGGAAGUGAAGCAAGCAAGCAGUUUAACAGAAGCCAAAAACAUGCAGUUAGCCGGGGCAUUUUGACCCCAAGUUUCCAGAAUUUUCCCAUGGGACUUUUCAUGGCAGGGGUAGGAAAGGAGAGUGGGGUCAGUUAAAACAAUGAUGGCUCUAGCUGAGGAGGAAUCUUUGCUAUAACACAAGGAACAAGUUGUGGGAUGUGGUGAUGUGAAUAAAAAUGAUCCUGAGAGGUCUAUAGGGAGUGCCAUAUUAGGAGGUGGGCUUUUCUUUUUGAAUAGGUGUGGCUUUGUUGAAGGAAGUGUGUCACUAGGGCGUGGGCUUUGAGGUCUCAGAAGCUCAAGCCAGGCUUACUAGCUCACUGUCUCCUGCUGUCUGUGGAUCGAGAUACAGAAUUCGCAGCUGCUCCAGCACCAUGACUGCCUACAUGCCACCAUGAUGACAACAGGCUAAACCUUUGAACUGUAAGCCAGCCCCAAUUAAAAUUUUUUUAAUUUUUUUUCUUUUUUCUUUUAAGAAUUGCCAUGGUCAUGGUGUCCCUUUGCAGCAAGAGAAAUCCUAACUAAGACACAGUAAUUCUGUAUAGCUGGUUAAUCAAGUACCUACUGUAGGCCAGGACUUGGGCUUGCCCUACAAACAGAAGACAGUCUUUCAAGGCAGACUUAACUAUGGGAUGUGAUAUUACCUCUAAGUAGAUAGUGACAGAACUGAAUUAAAUGAUAAGAAAUCCAACUGAGGCUGACAAGAUGGCUCAGUAUGCAAAGGUUCUUAUUGCCAAAUCCCCAGGAGGACCAAUCUCCCCAAGCUGUCCUCUGACAUCCACAGGAAUAUACACAGCCAAAAACUGAAUGAAAUAAAUUAAAAGUGAAAAAAACAAUCCAGCUAGUAUAUGGAGAGUAAGAUAAUUGCUUGGUAUAAAGAAAUAUACUCAUUUGCUAUCAGAAUGCUAUGCUUCUGUUUUAGAAUUCUUUUUAAAUGAGUUAUUCUUCAUGUAAACAUGCAAAACUUGUUUAUAGUAUUGUGAAAUCCCAAAUGGAUAACCAAAAUGAUUGGAAAAUAAAGCCAACUAGCCAAACAGUCAUCCAGAAACCUACUUAUGCAAUUAUGUUCUUCUUCUUCCUUCCUGCCUUCCUCUUCUCUGGGAUAGUCUCACUGCACAGCCAAAACCAGCCUGGAACUUCAGGCCCUCCUGCCUCAGAUAUCUCAGUGUUGGGAUUAAAGCGUGUGCUACCAUAUCCAGCUAAGUACUUCUUUAUUAAACUGAAAAAAAUAGUUAAAAUCCU